AUUGAACGCUGGCGGCAUGCCCUACACAUGCAAGUCGAACGGCAGCGGGGGAGAAGCUUGCUUUUCCUGCCGGCGAGUGGCGAACGGGUGAGUAAUACAUCGGAACGUGCCCUGUAGUGGGGGAUAACUAGUCGAAAGAUUAGCUAAUACCGCAUACGACCUGAGGGUGAAAGGGGGGGACCGCAAGGCCGCAUGCUAUAGGAGCGGCCGAUGUCUGAUUAGCUAGUUGGUGGGGUAAAGGCCUACCAAGGCGACGAUCAGUAGCUGGUCUGAGAGGACGAUCAGCCACACUGGGACUGAGACACGGCCCAGACUCCUACGGGAGGCAGCAGUGGGGAAUUUUGGACAAUGGGCGAAAGCCUGAUCCAGCAAUGCCGCGUGUGUGAAGAAGGCCUUCGGGUUGUAAAGCACUUUUGUCCGGAAAGAAAUGGCUCUGGUUAAUACCUGGGGUCGAUGACGGUACCGGAAGAAUAAGGACCGGCUAACUACGUGCCAGCCGCCGCGGUAA
rnacentral:rRNA from 1 species